rnacentral:rRNA from 1 species
UACGUAGGGGGGCAAGCGUUGUCCGGAAUCAUUGGGCGUAAAGCGCGUGUAGGCGGCCCGAUAAGUCCGCUGUGAAAGUCCAGGGCUCAACCCUGGAAUGCCGGUGGAUACUGUCGGGCUCGAGUCCGGAAGAGGCGAGUGGAAUUCCUGGUGUAGCGGUGAAAUGCGCAGAUAUCAGGAGGAACACCAAUGGCGAAGGCAGCUCGCUGGGACGGUACUGACGCUGAGACGCGAAAGCGUGGGGAGCAAACAGG